CCUACGGGUGGCUGCAGUGGGGAAUAUUGGACAAUGGGCGAAAGCCUGAUCCAGCCAUGCCGCGUGUGUGAAGAAGGCCUUCGGGUUGUAAAGCACUUUCAGUGGGGAAGAAAGCCUUGGGGCUAAUACCCUCGAGGAAGGACAUCACCCACAGAAGAAGCACCGGCUAACUCCGUGCCAGCAACCGCGGUAAUACGGAGGGUGCGAGCGUUAAUCGGAAUUACUGGGCGUAAAGCGCGCGUAGGCGGUCUGAUAAGCCGGUUGUGAAAGCCCCGGGCUCAACCUGGGAACGGCAUCCGGAACUGUCAGGCUAGAGUGCAGGAGAGGAAGGUAGAAUUCCCGGUGUAGCGGUGAAAUGCGUAGAGAUCGGGAGGAAUACCAGUGGCGAAGGCGGCCUUCUGGACUGACACUGACGCUGAGGUGCGAAAGCGUGGGUAGCAAACAGGAUUAGAUACCCGAGUAGUC
rnacentral:rRNA from 1 species